ACGAAUAAUAAAUCCUCGAAGGGUAUUCAUUGGAGCACUUGGGAAACGUUAUGUAAUCCAAAAUGCCUUAGAGGGAUGGGCUUUAAAAACUUGUUUUUGUUUAAUAAUGCCUUAUUAGCAAAACAAGUUUGGCGCAUUUUAUCCCGGCCUCAUUGUUUUUUGGCUAAGGUUUUAAAAGUCCGUUAUUUCCCUUAUUUAGAUAUUCUAUUAGCAGUGUUCGGGAGUUGAUUGGAGAAGGGAUUUUGUGGCGGUUGGGAAUGGUGCUCGCAUUAAUAUAUGGAAUGAUCCCUGGUUACCUGGAAGGGAGAACAAUAGAAUUUCAGUUCAGGACAUUCGGCCUAAUUAGACAACAGUUAAUCAAUUAGUUAUGAAUGAGGGUUGUACCUGGAACAGAGAGUUAGUUCAUAAUUUAGUUGAUGAUAAUACAACAACUAGAAUCUUCUCCAUUCCUAUUUCUGGAAGUAGGCCGGAGGACAUGUUGGUCUGGAAGUAUGAAGGCUUAAGGGAUUACACUAUUAAGAGCAGGUAUCGGGUCCUUAUUACAGAACUUUUACAAAGCAAAUCUAAUAUGUCCUCUAAUGAUGAGGAUUAGAAAGGUUUCUACACAGAUUUGUGGUCAUUAAAUAUUCCUGAGAAGAUUAAAAUACACGUUUGGAGGAUGUUUAAUAAUUUGGUGCCUCACUAUUUAAAUCUAGCGCGUAGAACUUUGUGUGAGGAUGCGGUGUGCCCACUGUGUAAGGAAGAACUGGAGAAUUCUGAGCAUCAGUUGUUGUCUUGUGGUGUUCAACAGGAUGUGUGGGCUUCGUUGCAAGUUCAAACUCCUCAUUUUGAAGAUUCGCUGGAUCACAAGAUUCGCUUUGUUAGAACAUUUUUUGAAGCAGACGGCCGACAAAAAUGACUCAUUGCUAUCUCUUUAUAGGGUCUUUGGUUUCAUAGAAAUAAAUUGGUGCAUGAAGGAGUAAAAUUUUCGAGGCAAAAAUUAUUGGGGUUCAUUCGAGGUUAUGAACAAGAUCUUUGUUUAUUUCAUGAGAACCUCUGUCCUAUUACUGGUUCUUUGGUUAAGGAGAUUUGGAGGCCUCCUGACUUUGGAAUCAUUAAGCUUAAUUUUGAUGCGUCUUUCAUUCAAGAAAAUAAACUUGCUACAACAGCGGUUUUAGCUAAAGAUUACAAAGGAGAAGUUGUUGGGGCAGAAACUUAUCUAUUUGAAGAUGUUGUUGACGCAUUUAUGGCAGAGGCACGAGCUUGUGAAAGGGCUUUAAUCUUCGCGAGUAUGAUGUGUUUUAGACGGCUGGCUGUGGAAGGUGAUUCUCUGUCUGUCAUAAAAAAUAUUAGAAAAAAGGAGGCAGAUAAAUCGGUUCUUAGGCCGAUUACUCAUCAUAUUCAUAAGUUGGAUAUGCUUUUUGAUGAGGUUACUUACAAUUUCGUGCCCCGUGCGGUUAAUGAUGCGGCUCAUGUUCUGGCGUUGGAAGGUCGGAGAAGAAGAGUAUGUGGGAGCUGGGUUAAUGGCGUACCUGAUUCGAUGCAGAUUGUGGUGAUGAAGGACCGUUUGGCUUGGAAUCAGAGGGUCUAGGGUUCAUGCAGUUUUGCUUUGAAUUUGGAAAAGGUUCAUUGAAUCUCCAGUUUGUAUUCAAAGCCUUGCUUUCUCCUUUGGCUAGUCUUCGUUGCAGAUAUUGUGGAGAGCUUUUCUGGCUGAUUGUGGGUUAUGAAGAGACGCGGUUGCUGGCUCAUGUGUUUUAUUUUUUUUUCUCUGUUUAUUUGGUCGAUGUUCUCUAGGAUUUUUAUUGCUUUAGGCUGGACAACUGUUUUGUUGCUUUCGUUUUGUCGUUUCUUUUUGGGUGUUGUGUUUGGAGGCUUCUCAGCUUCUUUUUUUCCUUAAGCCGUGGGUCAAUAAAAAUCAG
rnacentral:lncRNA from 1 species